AGACACUUGGGCUUGCUGGGGGAACAUCCAAGACUGGUAAAAGGUGGGGACCCUCCUUUGGAGAACUUCUGAGUCCUUGACAGAUAGGAGAUUGGGAGGAGAGCUGGCGAAGGGGCGGCAAGAAUAAAAGGGGAGAUUGGGCUCAGAAAUGGGUGGGGUGAUUGUCUUGUGGGUGGGGAAGCAUAUCUACCUCAGGCCCAGAGGGCAGGGUGACCUCCUCCCAGUGUUCUGGGAAAUCUCCAGGCUGCUAGUUACUUGGGCAGUGCUUCAGAGAAGAAAAUUAUUUAGUGUUCCUGUUGUCUCACAGAAAAUCUAUAGCUGCUAGCCAUGCUCUUUCCUCGGGUUACAGAUGCCCACCCUAUUCUGCUCUCUGGGGUAGCAGCCCGCAGAUCUUUGUGUUUUGAUCAUGAUCUGGAUUUAAAAAAAAAAAAAAGCCCGGUGCUGUGAUACACGCCUUUUAAUCCCAGCUUUUGGGAAGCAGAAGCAGGCACAUCUUCAUAAGGAGUUUGCGGAGAGCCUGGUAUACAUAGUGGGUUUUAGGAUAGUUAAAGCUACAUAGUGCCACCUUGUCUCUAAAAACCAGACCAAAAAAACCCAGUUCUUGAGUUUGGUGUAUAGAUUAUCUCUUUGGUGCUGGGGACUAUAUCUGCAGCCUUGAAUGCAUGCUUUACCACUGAGCCUCACCCCUACUCUGAACUCCCAUAUAACCCUUUCCCCCAAGGAACCUUUUGUAGAUAAGGCUGAAACCAUGUCUGAAUGAGCCUGUGUUGAUUUGUGUCAAGGUAACCCAGACGUGGUUGAGACGAAAGUCUCUCCCUCUCCAGAGAUGUGUUGACUGUGGGCACGGAGUUAGAGGCCUUUCUUUCUUCCCAUAGCCUAGGCCGGGGGAGCAGAACCCUGGCUGGGUUAUGGGAGCCCGAUGGGUUUGCUCUUACUUGUUAUCUUGCCUUGACAGCUGUUCCCAGCAGUAAUGUCCCCCUCCUCUGGAUUGUAGAUAUUGGGCUGAUGGCUGUCAAUGCCACCAUUUGCCCUUUGUGGUUACUACCACAGUUAAGUGGACGGCCAUGCCGCAUUCCCAAAGCCUACAGUCAUGCCGAUGGGCUGUGUGUGGUUGCUUCAGAAACCUUGCUAGAUCACCUAUGGCCUGAAGGGUCCUAAAGCAGACCUGUGGCUGAUAGCUGGAUUCCUGUUUGUUUAUCUCUAGCCACAGACUGCAGACCCAGGGGUGAGUCAGACCCAUCUCUUGCCCUGACUCUUACUUCUCUCUUCCUCAGUUGAGCCAAUUCCAGAUGCUCAUGUAGGACCAAACUACGGGUUAGGAAGACUUUUAAGGCUAAGGGAAAAAAACAAAACAAAACAAGGAGGGUCCAGGCAGUGGCUGUUUUCUCUGUUGCCUUUCACACAGUGAAAAUAGCCCAGGCCACUGAAGGGCAGGGAUGGAUGACUGGGAUCUCCUCACCUCCUCCUGUCGUGAUGUCAGAUCCAGAAGAUGUGAGGGUUUCUCUUGUGACAGGAGUCCAGCUCUCUCUUUCCUAAGUGGAAAGCUCCUCCUCAUGAGCCUUCUUAUGAAGAGAGGCCACCAUAGGGAAGGUAGGCCCCUAGACCUUGUCAUAUGAUGGAUAUUUGAGAACACAGCGCACCUCAGGUAUUUAUGGAAUCCCAGGCUCUUAGAAUUGGCAUUCCUGCCAGAUGUGUGGUCUGUGUCCUCUCCCAGAGGAAUGUUCUAUUCCCUGGAAGCAUCUUUGCAGGGGACAUGUCCCUGUAGAUGAUAUGUGGGCUUUGAAAGGUUUCUUCCUUUGCCACACAAAUUCUUGGCGAUGCUUCUCGAACUUUGGAAGAUGCCCAAAAGCAUCUUUGCUGGUCUUCCGAGCCUUGUUUGAGGCUACAUCAGACUUGGGAAAACAGCUAGGUUCAGAGGAGCAGAAUGCCAAGAAUUAACUCGAGAGUCCUGCUUGGACUCGCCUCAGAAAGUGUUAAGACUUCCGGGAAGUGUGUAGUUCAGGCAGGGAAGGCAUGCAUCCCUCUGUUUAUGAGAGCCAAGCAGGCGAUCAGAGCCCAGAGCUGUGCGAGGUGCUUUGGGGUUGUAAGUGGAGGGGUGUACCCUUGCUGUCUGGUACCCAUCUGUUUGCAAUGGUAAGACCGUCACCUUAACCGUAAGCAUUUCUGGGUGGAUGUACUAGCUAGCGUACAUCAGAGUGCACAUCUCACUUAGCUCACAGAAUUGAGCAGGUGGGAAGGUGGAGGGUGGGUGUUCACUAUUCUUGUCAUUCCAACAUGGAAGAGACUCCUUAUAUGGAUGACAAGAAAACCCCAGGGCCCUCUGGGUGUAACAGAGAUUUCCAGAAAUGUUGAUGUAAAGUCCUGUUCUUGACUGAGAUACUGGGGACUGUCUCAGUCACUCUGGUGUGAUAAACUAAAGGUCAAGUCUUUGUAUUUUUCUGAACUGGCUGGCUGCUGCUUCUGAUCACUGAGAAACUGAUUUUUUGAUCUAUUACUAAUACUGAUAUGUUACUUUUAUACUAUACUGAGCUAAAUCCCCAGCCCCAUACUAUUGAUUUUUAAUUGAUUAUUAAUUACUAAUGUUUUAGCUAUGUGUUGGACCUAGUGUUUCAGAGAUAAUUCUUUAUUACGAUAACCAUUAUACUGGGCAAGACUGGCUGUUGUAUCUUACUUUGAAUGCAGUGAAACGGCCUCUUCUCUGGAUUGAGGUGUGGGUGGAAGGUGUCAGUCAAGCUGAAAUCCACUCAUGAGGCACCCACCCCCUAAAAGCUACUGCCUGGGACCUCUGGGUACCCUGGCUCCACCCCAGAAACCAUAGUGUAGUGCCAAUCACAGGAAACUCUGGGUAAAGAACACUCGAGAGAGAGAAUGUGUGCACUUAGCUUUAAGAUAGUGCCAGGGCGGAACACUGCUGAGGGGUAAGCCCAUGUGAGUAACCGGCAGGCAGUGGUGGGAAGCCAGAGCUUGCUUGCUUAUUUUUCUUGCUGUUCUAUAGACUUGACCAUUUCUAUCAUGAGAAAUUAAAUGGUGAAAUGGAAAACAGUCCUGACCAGAGAUGGGCCCUAUUCAUGAUCUUCUCUACAGAGGGACAGAGGAAUAGGGGUCUCAGGAACUGUAGAUACUAUGCUGACUGUUAAAGAAUUUGGUUUGUCUUUGUCACUGGCGUGUGUGUGUGUGUGUGUGUGUGUGUGUGUGUGUGUGUGUGUGUGUGUGUGCGUGCGCACUUGCUUGCUUGCUUGCUUGUGCUUGUUAAAUCCUUGGAAUUUCCUGAGAGUAUGGAGUGUCGUUGUUACUUGUCUGCCUUGUGUGUCACAGCAGAAUUUAUGUCGAGAGAUGACCUAGGAUGGUAGCUAGCCACUACCAGCUUGUCAUCGAUUACAGGGUUGAGGCCUUGAGCUAGAAGGACCUCUAAAGGGAAGAAGAGGGGGUUGACUUCAGUUCAACAUCUCUGUGAAUCCUGUCUACCUACAAAUGAUGGUUCAAUUCUAUCUCCAGUUGAGACCUAGAGCAGCUUCCCUGCAGAUGAACACACAGCUCUGCUUCAGACUGAUGCAUUCUUGUCCCGUGAUGGCAGGACAGGGAGCCUCUGUGCUCGAGACCCUGCUGGACCCUGCCCUGUAUGUGUCUUUGUUUGACUGCUUCUGAUAAUCGUUCUUUUGAAUAAAGUUCAAAUCAUAAAUG
rnacentral:lncRNA from 1 species